rnacentral:rRNA from 1 species
GACGAACGCUGACGGCGUGCUUAACACAUGCAAGUCGAACGGUGAAGCGCCUUCCUUUUUGGUGGGUGUGGAUGAGUGGCGAACGGGUGAGUAACACGUGAGUAACCUGCCCCCUUCUUCUGGAUAACCGCAUGAAAGUGUGGCUAAUACGGGAUAUUCUGGGUCUGUCGCAUGAUGGGUCUGGGAAAGAUAUUGUUUCGGUGGGGGAUGGGCUCGCGGCCUAUCAGCUUGUUGGUGGGGUGAUGGCCUACCAAGGCGGUGACGGGUAGCCGGCCUGAGAGGGUGGACGGUCACACUGAGACUGAGACACGGCCCAGACUCCUACGGGAGGCAGCAGUGGGGAAUAUUGCACAAUGGGCGCAAGCCUGAUGCAGCGACGCCGCGUGAGGGAUGGAGGCCUUCGGGUUGUGAACCUCUCUCGCCAGUGAAGCAGGCCUGCCUCGUUUGUGGGUGGGUUGACGGUAGCUGGAUAAGAAGCGCCGGCUAACUACGUG